rnacentral:rRNA from 1 species
UACGUAGGGGGCAAGCGUUGUCCGGAAUCAUUGGGCGUAAAGCGCGUGUAGGCGGCUUAGCAAGUCGGGCGUGAAAGCCCUCGGCUCAACCGAGGAAGUGCACCCGAAACUGCUGAGCUUGAGUGCCGGAGAGGAUGGCGGAAUUCCCCAAGUAGAGGUGAAAUUCGUAGAUAUGGGGAGGAACACCGGUGGCGAAGGCGGCCAUCUGGACGGUAACUGACGCUGAGACGCGAAAGCGUGGGGAGCAAACAGG